rnacentral:rRNA from 1 species
UACGUAGGGGGCUAGCGUUGUCCGGAAUCAUUGGGCGUAAAGGGUACGUAGGCGGAUAAGCAAGUUAGAAGUGAAAUCCUAUAGCUCAACUAUAGUAAGCUUUUAAAACUGCUCAUCUUGAGGUAUGGAAGGGAAAGUGGAAUUCCUAGUGUAGCGGUGACAUGCGUAGAUAUUAGGAGGAAUACCAGUAGCGAAGGCGACUUUCUGGACACAUACUGACGCUGAGGUACGAAAGCGUGGGGAGCAAACAGG